GAUGGACGCUAGCGACAGGCUUAACACAUGCAAGUCGAGGGGCAGCAUGAUUUGUAGCAAUACAGAUUGAUGGCGACCGGCGCACGGGUGAGUAACGCGUAUGCAACUUACCUAUCAGAGGGGGAUAACCCGGCGAAAGUCGGACUAAUACCGCAUGAAGCAGGGGUCCCGCAUGGGGAUAUUUGCUAAAGAUUCAUCGCUGAUAGAUAGGCAUGCGUUCCAUUAGGCAGUUGGCGGGUAACGCCACCAACCGACGAUGGAUAGGGGCUCUGAGAGGGAAGGUCCCCCACAUUGGUACUGAGACACGGACCCAAACUCCUACGGGAGGCAGCAGUGAGGAAUAUUGGUCAAGUGGG
rnacentral:rRNA from 1 species